UUGAUCAUGGUCAGAAUCAACGCUGGCGGCGUGCCUCAGACGUGCAAGUCGAACGCGAAAGGUUCCUUCGGGAACCGAGUAGAGUGGCGUCCGGGUGAGUAACACGUGGGUAAUCUACCUUCGGGUGGGGAAUAACGACCGGAAACGGUCGCUAAUACCGCAUAAUGCAGCGGCACCUAAUGGUGACAGUUGUUAAAGCGGGGGAUCGCAAGACCUCGCGCCUGAAGAGGAGCCCGCGGCGGAUUAGCUAGUUGGCAGGGUAACGGCCUACCAAGGCGACGAUCCGUAGCCGGCCUGAGAGGGCGGUCGGCCACACUGGCACUGACACACGGGCCAGACUCCUACGGGAGGCAGCAGUCGGGAAUUUUGGGCAAUGGGCGAAAGCCUGACCCAGCAACGCCGCGUGAAGGAUGAAGCUUUUCGGAGUGUAAACUUCAUAAGAAUGGGACGAAUAAGGAGGGGUUAAUACCCCCUUUGAUGACGGUACCAUUUGUAAGCUCCGGCUAACUCCGUGCCA
rnacentral:rRNA from 1 species